GGGCCCGCACAAGCAGCGGAGCAUGUGGUUUAAUUCGAAGCAACGCGAAGAACCUUACCCAGACUUGACAUCUCCUGAAUUAAUCGUAAUUGAUGAAAUCCCUUCGGGGACAGGAAGACAGGUGGUGCAUGGUUGUCGUCAGCUCGUGUCGUGAGAUGUUAGGUUAAGUCCUGCAACGAGCGCAACCCUUAUCAUUAGUUGCUAACAUUUAGUUGAGCACUCUAGUGAGACUGCCCGGGUUAACCGGGAGGAAGGUGGGGAUGACGUCAAAUCAUCAUGCCCCUUAUGUCUGGGGCUACACACGUGCUACAAUGGUGGGAACAAAGAGAUGCAAUACCGCAAGGUGGAGCCAAACUUCAAAACCCAUCCCAGUUCGGAUUGUAGGCUGAAACUCGCCUACAUGAAGCUGGAGUUGCUAGUAAUCGCGAAUCAGAAUGUCGCGGUGAAUACGUUCCCGGGCCUUGUACACACCGCCCGUCACACCAUGAGAGUCGGCAACACCCGAAGCCCGUGAGGUAACCUUUUGGAACCAGCGGUCGAAGGUGGGGUUGAUAAUUGGGGUGAAGUCGUAACAAGGUAGCCGUAGGAGAACCUGCGGCU
rnacentral:rRNA from 1 species